rnacentral:tRNA from 1 species
CGGGAUAGCUCAGUUGGUAGAGCAGAGGACUGAAAAUCU